rnacentral:rRNA from 1 species
AAUUUUGGACAAUGGGGGGAACCUUGAUCCAGCCAUACCGCGUGGGUGAAAAAGGCCUUCGGGUUGUAUAUCCCUUUUGUUGGGAAAGAAAUCCCGCUGGUUAAUACUCGGUUGUGAUGACGGUUCCCAAAGAAUAAGCACCGUCUACCUUCGUGCCAGCAGCCGCGGUAAUACGAAGGGUGCAAGCGUUACUCGGAAUUACUGGGCGUAAAGCGUGCGUAGGUGGUCGUUUAAGUCCGUUGUGAAAGCCCUGGGCUCAACCUGGGAACUGCAGUGGAUACUGGACAACUAGAGUGUGGUAGAGGGUAGCGGAAUUACUGGUGUAGCAGUGAAAUGCGUAGAGAUCAGGAGGAACAUCCAUGGCGAAGGCAGCUACCUGGACCAACACUGACACUGAGGCACGAAAGCGUGGGGAGCAAACAGG